AUGAGUCCAGACUGCAGUUGCUUAAAAACAGUGAUCAUUUAUUCUCACAAGCCAGAGGAUUACUUGGGAGUUCGCUGGUCUCGUCUGGGCUGGGCGGGGGCAAUUAGCUCUGUCCCACGUGCCCCAUUGUCUUUCAGGUCCCAGCCUGGGCUUUUUCUUCUUGUGGAUGGCAGUGUCGCAGAGAGCAACUGGGAAUGCCCGAGGCCCCUUGAAGUCUUGGCCCCAGAGUGGCUUCCCUUACUCCUUCCUCCUUCUGUUGCCAGAGCCAGUCACAGUGCCAAGCUCAAAGUCACAGGUGAACACUGUCUUGCCUCUCAGUGGGAGACACGACGGAGUUGGAACCAACAGUGCAAUCUGCCACAGUUCUAGUUUCCUUGUCACUACAGCCGCCACCAGGGCUGUGUAACCAGCACCGUAAUUCCAGGAAGCAAGCAGACUCUUUUCCCACAGUAUGUUCCAGGUACUGUAUCACUCUGACCAAUGGAGAGAAAAGCUAUCGGUACUAACCACACGUUCCACGAAGUUGCUAGUGACAUCCUGUUGAUCGUGGUACCUAGAACAGAAACUCCUCAGAAAUCACCUCUCAAAAGUUCUCAUCAAAAUAUGACGUCCUCCUUAUUUAUUUUUCAUUUGUUUACUGUGCUUUAGACGCUGUAUCUAACAAACCAUUGCCUGAUCCAAGAUUUGCAUGUAUGCUUUUCUUCUAAGCACUCUAAGGGGCCUUCCUUGGUGGCUCAGAUGGUAAAGAAUCUACCUUCAAUGUGGGAGACCUGGGUGCGAUCCCUGGUUUGGGAAGAUCCCCUGGAGAAGGGCAUGGCAACCCAUUCCAGUAUUUGGGCCUGGAGAAUCCCCCUGGACAGAGGAACCUGGUGGGCUAUAGUCCAUGGGGUUGCAAAGAGUUGGACACAACUGAGCGACUUUCACUUUCACUUUUUCUUCUAGGAGUUCUAGUUUUAACUUUUAUAUUUAGGUCUUUGAUCUACUUUGAAUUAAUUUUUGCAUAUGAUGUGAGAUAAGGGUCUACCUUCAUUCUUUUGCAUGUGGAUCUCCAUUUUCUCAGCACCAUUUAUUUUGGAAAAGAAUAUUCUUCCUCCAUUGAAUUGUGUAGGUACUAUUGUCAAAUGCCAAUUAACCUUAAAUAUGAGAAUUUGUUUCAAUUCAGUUCAGUUGCUCAGUUGUGUCUGACUCUUUGCGACCCCACAGACUGCAGCACGCCAGCCUUCCCUGUCCAUCACCAACUCCCAGAGCUUGCUCAGACUCACAUCCACAGUGUCAGUGAUGCCAUCCAACCAUCUCAUCCUCUGCCAUCCCCUUCUCCUCCUGCUUCAAUCUUUCCCAGCAUCAGGGUCUUUCCUAAUGAGUCAGUUCUUUGAAUCCGGUGGCUAAAGUAUUGGAGCUUCAGCUUCAGCAUCAGUCCUUCCAAUGAAUAUUCAGGACUGAUUUCCUUUAGGAUUGAGGGUUUGUUUCUGGGCUCUCAAUUCUGUUCCACUGACUGUGUGUCAAAACUCACACUAGCACCAUACAGUGUUGAUUCCUAUUACUUUGUAGUAAGUGUUGAAAUCAGAUAGUGCAAGUCCUUCAGCAUUGCUCGCUUUCAAAUUUGUUUUGACUCUUCUUGUUCCCUUGCAUUUCCA
rnacentral:lncRNA from 1 species